UGGCCCCGGUUCUGUACAGUAUAUGUGUGACUGUACGAAAAUGAAAAUGGAAAAUAAAACUAUCUAGAUGACAAACAAAGAAUAAUUGAGCCCCUGAUAAUUUUGUAUUUUUCCACCAUUUCAGCUUUUAUGGUAGAAAAAAAAUUGCAGUCCCUAGAUAUGAAAAGAAAGAAUUGUCACUAAUCGUUCUCUGCAACUUAAAGAUCCAUCAGGGCAUGAACUCUGCUUAUCAAUCCUCCAAAUGUUUUACAAAACACUUUUUUAAAAAAGUAUAUAGAAAUUUGCUUGUGUUUCCAUUGAUUAAAGCUCCAUACAAAAAAUAACCAUUCACCUGUUCACACAACAAAGUUGUGUGUAGGGGAAAAAAAACUGCCACUUAUUUUCUAGUUAAAUAUUUUAUUUGUUAUACCCACACACAGUCCUGCAGUACAGAAAUCGGGAAUAAUACUUCUAUGACUAUGAAAAAUCGAUACCCCGCUAUUUCUUUUGCAGAUACAAGCAGCAAUCAUCCCAAACCCUUCCGACGCGUUAGACUUCAGCCUCCAACCUUAAGGGCUGGAGUCCGCGGUCGUCAGUUUAAUAGGCACAGAGGUAUAACUCAUGCAAUGGGUGGCAGAGGAGGCCUGAACCGGGGCAAUAUUAAUUAAACGCUGUACAGAUUUUGGAAAUGGUGUAUGCGGUUUAGUCUGCCUUUAUUCUGCAUUAGUAUAAUAGCUGCCAAGCUUAAAGCAGCCUUUUUUAAAUGUUAAAAAAGGAUUGUUGUAUGAACAUUUGAUUGUCUUUUAUUAAUAAAAGCUAGAGAAACUGUCA